AGUGAGGGCCCUCUGGGUCCAACCUCCCACCCGUGUUUAUUUUACCUUGUUGCUUCGGCGGGCCCGCCUUAACUGGCCGCCGGGGGGCUUACGCCCCCGGGCCCGCGCCCGCCGAAGACACCCUCGAACUCUGUCUGAAGAUUGUAGUCUGAGUGAAAAUAUAAAUUAUUUAAAACUUUCAACAACGGAUCUCUUGGUUCCGGCAUCGAUGAAGAACGCAGCGAAAUGCGAUACGUAAUGUGAAUUGCAAAUUCAGUGAAUCAUCGAGUCUUUGAACGCACAUUGCGCCCCCUGGUAUUCCGGGGGGCAUGCCUGUCCGAGCGUCAUUGCUGCCCUCAAGCACGGCUUGUGUGUUGGGCCCCGUCCUCCGAUCCCGGGGGACGGGCCCGAAAGGCAGCGGCGGCACCGCGUCCGGUCCUCGAGCGUAUGGGGCUUUGUCACCCGCUCUGUAGGCCCGGCCGGCGCUUGCCGAUCAACCCGAAUUUUUAUCCAGGUUGACCUCGGAUCAGGUAGAACCCGCUGAACUU
rnacentral:rRNA from 1 species